GGAGAUGCUGUGGCUCAGUGGAAGAGCCUCUGCUUUGUAUGCAGAAGGUCCAAGGUUCAAUCCCUGGCAUCUCCA